GGAGGGAGGGGUUAGAAGCUUCUAGUGGCCAUUUUGUCUAAAUAUGCGUGAAUAGCUUAUACACUGAUUUCAGUUAAAUGAGUAAAUAGGCAUUUUACUAACUAGAAAAUAUGUCAAUAUCUCAUUUCCACAACAGAAGGCAUAUAAAAUAACCAAUUAACUUCUGUCCUCUGACAUAUUCUCAGAGUUGGAUUGCCCAUAAACUGGCAUAGGCAGUCGCCUAGGCUCAGAUAGGGGCCUGGCUGAUACUUGUCUGAGCCUGGUGCUCUGGUUAUGACUGUGAGGGGACACUCCUUGAGCCAGCAGAGAGAUCACAAGAUCUUCUUGCUCUGACUUGUGCCAC